CGCGGGGUGGAGCAGUCUGGUAGCUCGUUGGGCUCAUAACCCAAAGGUCGUAGGUUCAAAUCCUGCCCCCGCAACCA
rnacentral:tRNA from 76 species